rnacentral:rRNA from 1 species
UGCAGUCGAACGAGAGAUGAGGAGCUUGCUCUUCAAAUCGAGUGGCGAACGGGUGAGUAACGCGUGAGGAACCUGCCUCAAAGAGGGGGACAACAGUUGGAAACGACUGCUAAUACCGCAUAAGCCCACGGCUCGGCAUCGAGCAGAGGGAAAAGGAGUGAUCCGCUUUGAGAUGGCCUCGCGUCCGAUUAGCUAGUUGGUGAGGUAACGGCCCACCAAGGCGACGAUCGGUAGCCGGACUGAGAGGUUGAACGGCCACAUUGGGACUGAGACACGGCCCAGACUCCUACGGGAGGCAGCAGUGGGGAAUAUUGCACAAUGGGGGAAACCCUGAUGCAGCGACGCCGCGUGGAGGAAGAAGGUCUUCGGAUUGUAAACUCCUGUUGUCGAGGAAGAUAAUGACGGUACUCAACAAGGAAGUGACGGCUAACUACGUGCCAGCAGCCGCGGUAAAACGUAGGUCACAAGCGUUGUCCGGAAUUACUGGGUGUAAAGGGAGCGCAGGCGGGAGAACAAGUUGGAAGUGAAAUCCAUGGGCUCAACCCAUGAACUGCUUUCAAAACUGUUUUUCUUGAGUAGUGCAGAGGUAGGCGGAAUUCCCGGUGUAGCGGUGGAAUGCGUAGAUAUCGGGAGGAACACCAGUGGCGAAGGCGGCCUACUGGGCACCAACUGACGCUGAGGCUCGAAAGUGUGGGUAGCAAACAGGAUUAGAUACCCUGGUAGUCCACACCGUAAACGAUGAUUACUAGGUGUUGGAGGAUUGACCCCUUCAGUGCCGCAGUUAACACAAUAAGUAAUCCACCUGGGGAGUACGACCGCAAGGUUGAAACUCAGAGGAAUUGACGGGGGGCCCGCACAAGCAGUGGAGUAUGUGGUUUAAUUCG